ensembl:lncRNA
CUUGGAAUCCAGAGAGAUCCCACGGCUCCGUGUUGACGACGGCUUGUGAGGGGGCCCUAGAGACUUUGUAAGUGGCCACGGGCUGUUACUGGGACGGCUGCAGUGACGUCCGCAUUCUUCCCGAGGUCUGCUCAGAACGACCAACUACAUUCACACACAAGCCGUUGUCACCAGCCCUCAUUUUGCUGAACGUGAGAAACCAUCCUGCCAGCGACAUAAGGCUUUGGUGUGACUGGAUUUUACUAAAAAUUUGAAGGAGUCUUUCUGCUGCUAUGUGAAGAAACUUGAGUUGGCCUCCUGGAAGAUAAUGCAGAAGUGAAAGACCCCCAGCUGUUCUAGUACAACUAUCCAGCCAUUCCAGUUGAGACCAUCCUGUGUUACUAAGAUUAUACCAGAAGACCAGACUGGCCAGUUCAAAAGGUUAUGGGAUAACCGUAUAGCUGUGCCCUCGACUUCCUGCUAAAUGGAAUGAGAUCAAGACGUUGGGAGCAGGAGCAACCGUCUUGCACCCUGAGUCGGAAACCGUACUUUGAAGAUGGCAGAG